AUUGAACGCUGGCGGAAUGCUUUACACAUGCAAGUCGAACGGCAGCACGGACUUCGGUCUGGUGGCGAGUGGCGAACGGGUGAGUAAUGUAUCGGAACGUGCCCAGUCGUGGGGGAUAACGUAGUGAAAAUUACGCUAAUACCGCAUACGAUCUAUGGAUGAAAGCGGGGGAUCGCAAGACCUCGCGCGAUUGGAGCGGCCGAUAUCAGAUUAGGUAGUUGGUGGGGUAAAGGCCUACCAAGCCAACGAUCUGUAGCUGGUCUGAGAGGACGACAAGCCACACUGGAACUGAGACACGGUCCAGACUCCUAAGGGAGGCAGCAGUGGGGAAUUUUGGACAAUGGGCGAAAGCCUGAUCCAGCCAUUCCGCGUGCAGGAUGAAGGCCCUCGGGUUGUAAACUGCUUUUGUACAGAACGAAAAGGUUUCUACUAAUACUAGGAGCUCAUGACGGUACUGUAAGAAUAAGCACCGGCUAACUACGUGCCAGCCGCCGCAGUAA
rnacentral:rRNA from 1 species